rnacentral:rRNA from 1 species
GGUCAGACGGGACUACCCGCUGAGUUUAAGCAUAUCAAA